rnacentral:rRNA from 1 species
GCUUUAUGUUUAUAUAUAAAGUAAGGUCUGCUCAAUGGUUUAACUAAAUAGCCGCUUUUUGUGCUAAGGUAGCAUAAUAAUUUGUCUUUUAAUUGGUGACUGGUAUGAAUGGCUAGACGGAAAAUAACUGUCUUCUAAUAUAAAUUUUCGAAUUUUAUUUUGAAGUUAAAAAGCUUCAAUGUUUUAAUGGGACGAGAAGACCCUGUAGAAUUUUAUUUAAUUUAAUUAUUUAUUUCUAUUUUAUAAUUAAUUUUAAUUUGGUUGGGGUGACUAAAUGUUAACUUAUUUUGAAUUAAUUACUUUAUGUUUAUUUUGAUCCAAUUAUUUUGAUUAUUAGACUAAAUUACCUCAGGGAUAACAGCUUUAUAUUUUUAGAAAGUUCAAAUUGAUAAAAAUGUUUGUGACCUCGAUGUUGGAUUAAAAUUACUACUAGGAGUAGAUAUUUAGUAAGUGAGUCUGUUCGACUUUUGAAAUUUUACA